GCGGUCGUGAGACCCGUCGCUGAAGGAAGCGGGGAACGAACCGGCGGGCCGACGAACAGAAACCGGAUACGAGGCGGUGCCGAGCAGGGCGAGCGGGCGUAUGACCGNGAAGCUCUCGUGACCAAAGAUCGGUGGCGUAGAUCCGGCGGUCGUGCAGGGAAGGCCAGUGUU
rfam:Freshwater sediment metagenome lwMethane_BCGO28640_y1, whole genome shotgun sequence.